GAUGAAGAACGCAGCGAAAUGCGAUAAGUAGUGUGAAUUGCAGAAUUCAGUGAAUCAUCGAAUCUUUGAACGCACAUUGCGCCCCUUGGUAUUCCAUGGGGCAUGCCUGUUCGAGCGUCAUUUGUACCUUCAAGCUUUGCUUGGUGUUGGGUGUUUGUCCCUCGGGACUCGCCUUAAAGUCAUUGGCAGCCAGUGUUUUGGUUUUGAAGCGCAGCACAAGUCGCGAUUCAAGGCUAUCCGCCCGCUUCCACAAGCCUUUUUCACUUUUGACCUCGGAUCAGGUAGGGAUACCCGCUGAACUUAAGCAUAUCAAAAGCGGAGA
rnacentral:misc_RNA from 1 species